rnacentral:tRNA from 1 species
GGGUGAUUAGCUCAGCUGGGAGAGCACCUCCCUUACAAGGAGGGGGUCGGCGGUUCGAUCGCGUCAUCACCCACCA